rnacentral:rRNA from 1 species
AGAAAAUAGAUACCCCGGUAGUCCACACGGUAAACGAUGAAUGCUAGGUGUAGGAGGUAUCGACCCCUUCUGUGCCGCAGUUAAACACAAUAAGCAUUCCGCCUGGGGAGUACGGUCGCAAGAUUAAAACUCAAAGGAAUUGACGGGGGCCCGCACAAGCAGCGGAGCAUGUGGUUUAAUUCGACGCAACGCGAAGAACCUUACCAGGUCUUGACAUCCAGUUAAAGCUGUUGAAAGAUAGUGUCCCUUCGGGGGAACUGAGACAGGUGGUGCAUGGUUGUCGUCAGCUCGUGUCGUGAGAUGUUGGGUUAAGUCCCGCAACGAGCGCAACCCUUAUUGAUAGUUACUAACGCGUAGAGGCGAGGACUCUAUUGAGACUGCCGGGGACAACUCGGAGGAAGGUGGGGACGACGUCAAAUCAUCAUGCCCCCGUUAUGACCUGGGCUACACACGUGCUACAAUGGCCGAUACAGAGAGAAGCGAAAGCGCGAGCCGGAGCGGAGUCUCA